rnacentral:tRNA from 1 species
AUCUAUUGAGUAUGAGAAGUAUAACUAAUUUCCAAUUAGGAGGAUCAGGUUAAAGAAAUAGAUA